rnacentral:lncRNA from 1 species
UGUGAAAUCACAUGGCUGCCAUGGAUAAAAAUAGAACAUAUGGAUACAAUGCAGUUUUUUUGGCUUAUAUCUCAAAAACUAAAGCCUAUAGAGCUAACCUGACAUGGGGCAAACAUAUUCAUUAGGCCAGGAACUACCUGCUCUGAAGUGACAAUCAAUCUUUGGGUUAUUUCAGCUGAAUUGAAUAGUUUGAAUUGUUUUACAUUUUUCGUUUCAGGACUUUUUUUUUACUCAUUGUUGUAGGCAUACAUUGACCAAUAGUUGUUAAUUUCUGUGUCAUUUGGUCUCUUGUAGAUAGUUAUCUCAUUGGAAUUCAUACCAUAUCUUCACUUC